rnacentral:rRNA from 1 species
UCACGAAAGUGGAUUGCACUAGAAGUCUGCACGCUGACCCGCAAGGGAGGCAGCGGCCCAAGGUAUGAUUCAUGAUUGGGGUGAAGUCGUAAACCAAAGGGUACC